CCUACGGGUGGCAGCAGUGAGGAAUAUUGGUCAAUGGCCGGAAGGCUGAACCAGCCAAGUCGCUUGAGGGAAUAAUGCCCUAUGGGUCGUACACCUCUUUUGUCAGGGUGCAAAGGCGUCCACGUGUGGACGAGAGGAGAGUACCUGAAGAAAAAGCAUCGGCUAACUCCGUGCCAGCAGCCGCGGUAAUACGGAGGAUGCGAGCGUUAUCCGGUUUUCUUGGGUUAAAGGGGUGCGUAGGCGGUUCGUUAAGUCCGUGGUCAAAUUGAGGGGCUCAACCCCUUCCCGCCAUUGAAACUGGCGCUCUUGAGUGGAAGAGAAGUAUGCGGAAUGCGUGGUGGAGCGGUGAAAUGCAUAGAUAUCACGCAGAACCCCGAUUGCGAAGGCAGCAUGCCGGCUUCCAACUGACGCUGAAGCACGAAAGCGUGGGUAUCGAACAGGAUUAGAUACCCCUGUAGUC
rnacentral:rRNA from 1 species